AACGUAGGAGACAAACGUUAUCCGGAGUUACUGGGCGUAAAGGGCGUGUAGGUGGUAGAGUAAGUCUGGCGUGAAAUUUUUCGGCUUAACCGGGAAAGGUCGUCGGAUACUGCUUAACUAGAGGACGGUAGAGGCGUGUGGAAUUCCGGGUGUAGCAGUGAAAUGCGUAGAGAUCGGGAGGAACAUCUGUGGCGAAGGCGACUGCCUGGACCAGCACUGACACUGAGGCACGAAAGCGUGGGGAGCAAACAGG
rnacentral:rRNA from 1 species